rnacentral:lncRNA from 1 species
GGCAAACAAUAAUUUAUUGUAACCGAUUUCCUUUAACCCACAGUAUAUUUCUUUCAGGUGUAUUUGCCCAGAGUGGUACUACUGAAAGUGGUGACAAGAACAGAAAUCUAUGAAGCAAGGCUAUGAAGAAAUCUUUUAAUCACAGAACCAAGGAGUCUAACUUUGAAAAAUCAAGCAAAACAGAUUACCAUAUGUUCUCAAAUGAGAUCGUAAACAUGAACCCCAAACCAUUCUCAUGUUCUGAAUGUGGGAAAUGUUUUAGGCAAUACUCCAAACUUCUUACACAUCAGAAAACUCACACAGGAGAGAAGCCCUUCUCAUGUUCUGAAUGCGGGAAAUGUUAUAGCUGUAACUCAACUCUUAUUGCACAUCAGAGAACUCACACAGGAGAGUACCCAUUCUCAUGUUCUGAAUGUGGAAAAUGUUUUAGCUAUAACAAUACUCUUAUUGUACAUCAAAGAACUCACACAGGAGAGAAACCGUUCUUGUGUUCUGAAUGUGGAAAAUGUUUUGUCUGUAAACAACAUCUUAUUAGACAUCAGAGAAUACACACGGGAGAGAAACCAUUCUCAUGUUCUGAAUGUGGAAAAUGUUUUCGCUAUGGCUCCACUCUAAUUGCACAUCAGAGAAUUCACACAGGAGAGAACCCGUUUUCAUGUUCUGAAUGUGAAAAAUGCUUUGUUACUAAAGCACAUCUUGUCUGUCAUCAGAGAUUUCACUCAGGAGAGAAACUUAUCUCAUGUUCUGAAUGUGAAAGAUGUUUUGUCGCUAAAUCAAAGCUUGUCCGCCAUCAGAGAUCUCACACAGGAGAGAAACCGUUCUCAUGCUCUGAAUGUGGAAAAUGCUUUGUCACUAAAGCAGAUCUUGUCCGUCAUCAGAGAUUUCACUCAGGAGAGAAACUGUUCUCAUGUUCUGAAUGUGAAAAAUGUUUUGUCUCUAAAUCAGAGCUUGUCCGCCAUCAGAGAUCUCACACAGGAGAGAAACCGUUCUCAUGUUCUGAAUGUGAAAAAUGUUUUGUCACUAAAUCAGAGCUUGUCCGCCAUCAGAGAAUACACACAGGAGAGCAACUGUUCUCAUGUUCUGAAUGUGAAAAAUGUUUUGACACUAAAUCAAAGCUUGUCCGUCAUCAGAGAACUCACACAGGAGAGAAACCGUUCUCAUGUUCUGAAUGUGAAAAAUGUUUUGUCUCUAAAUCAGAGCUUGUCCGCCAUCAGAGAUCUCACACAGGAGAGAAACCGUUCUCAUGUUCUGAAUGUGAAAAAUGUUUUGUCACUAAAUCAGAGCUUGUCCGCCAUCAGAGAAUACACACAGGAGAGCAACUGUUCUCAUGUUCUGAAUGUGAAAAAUGUUUUGACACUAAAUCAAAGCUUGUCCGUCAUCAGAGAACUCACACAGGAGAGAAACCGUUCUCAUGUUCUGAAUGUGAAAAAUGUUUUGACACUAAAUCAAAGCUUGUCUGUCAUCAGAGAAUUCACACAGGAGAAAAACCGUUCUCAUGUUCUGAAUGUGAAAAAUUUUAUAGGCAUUACCCAAGUCUUGUUAAACACCGGAAAACUCACACAGGAGAGAAACCAUUCUCGUGUUCUGAAUGUAGAAAAUAUUUUGUUAUGAAAGCAGAUCUGGUCAGUCAUCAGAGAAUACACACAGGAGAGAAACCGUUCUCAUGUUCUGAAUGUGAAAGAUGUUUUAGCUUUAAUUCAAGUCUCGUUAAACAUCGGAGAACUCACAAGAGAGAAACCGUUCUCAUGUUCUGAAUGUGGAAAAUGUUUUGUUACUGAAGCAAAGCUGUCUGUCAUCAGAGAACUCACACAGGAGAAAAACCAUUCUCAUGUACAUAUUGUUGAAAAGGUUUUGUCACUAAAGCAGAGCUCUUCAGUCAUCAGAGAACUCACACAAGAGAGAAACCAUUAUCUUGUUCUAAAUGUGGAAAAUGCCUUUUAACUGUCACUCAGCUCUUGUUAUACAACAGCGAACUCACACAGAAGAAAAACCGUUUUCAUUAGUGUUGUUGCGAACGAUUUUUGGCGAACUCCGGUCAGCUGACACAUCCCGGCCAAUCUCCAGCAGACCCUCCCUCCCACCUCCUGGACAGCAUCCAUGUUGAAGCUGCCUUCAACAUGGAUGCUGUCCAGGAGGAGGGAGGGUCUGCUGGAGAUUGGCCGGGAUGUGUCUGCUGACCGCAAACGGUUCGUGGCGAACUCCGAACAGUUUGCGACAACACUACUUCUCAUGUUCUGAAUGUGGAAAAUGUUUUACUCAACAUUCACAUCUUCUUAUUAUACAUCAGAGAACUCACACAGGUGGUGAGUCUCUAAAAUGUUAUAAUGCAUAGAUGCAUUAACAUAGGAAAAAAAGAUCUUGUGUGAAUUGUCUCUUGCUGACACAAUAAAUAGUAACUGUGAUGGUAGCAGUCAAUGUACAUAUGAUGCUAUCAUCCGGGGUGCCUAACCUGCACUGCCAAUUCUAAAGGCUAGUUCCCCCAACCCAUGUUAAUACAGACUUCAAGCAAAGGUUAUGUUUACUUCUAUUUCUCUAGGGUUUUUCUUAGGGCAUACAAUGCAGCUGAGACUAUAACUAAUAAAUAUACCAAUUUUGUCACAUUAUCAAAUCAGACAUUCAUAAUUUGGAGUCAAAUAAAGAGCCUUCUGAAAAAUAUUUAAUGAGCUUUAAAAUAUCUGUGUUGCAGGAUUUGUUUCUUUGUAAUAUUAUCAUUCUUGUAUUAGUUGCAAAUUACAUGAUUUCAGACUUUUUUCAUACACAGGAACUGAGGCCCUACCUACACAUCUAAUAUUAAUUAUAGUACUUAUGUCCACUGUAUAUCAAUGGUCAACACAUAUGGUUUUUGUUCAGAUAGAUUGAUAAAGGCCUGCUGUUAUAACCUUCAACCCAGCAAUCCAGGCCAGACUCAAAUAUGUGUUAAGAAGGGCCUCUUUCUGAAUGUAUUCAUUUAAACAUAUAUAGUAAUUCCUAUAACCAUUUUUAUAAUGUUUGGCUCUAACUAUAGAUUGGCAGAAUGGGGAUUAAUUCGCGACCCAUUUUACACUUGUUUUAAAGAAUCAAAUAACCUUAUACUUGUGUACUCAUCCUAAUUAACUGAAUUCUUAGACAUAUAAAAGCUUUCGCAGAUAAAUAUUCACCACCAAUACUUUUGCAUCAAAAAUGGAUAUUAACUUGAAGUGCAUACAAAUUGCUGUAUUGGUCCAGAUGUGUGCCAAGAUAUUUUAUUUUCGGAUGGUGUGUAUUGUUUGAAUAAAUAUUAAAAAUGUUGUACUUUA